rnacentral:rRNA from 1 species
UGGGGAAUUUUGGACAAUGGGCGCAAGCCUGAUCCAGCCAUGCCGCGUGAGUGAAGAAGGCCUUCGGGUUGUAAAGCUCUUUCGGCGGGGACGAAACGGUCCGUGCCAACACCACGGACUAAUGACGGUACUCGCAGAAGAAGCACCGGCUAACUACGUGCCAGCAGCCGCGGUAAUACGUAGGGUGCGGGCGUUAAUCGGAAUUACUGGGCGUAAAGCGUGCGCAGGCGGCUCCUUAAGUCAGAUGUGAAAUCCCCGGGCUUAACCUGGGAACUGCGUUUGAAACUGAGGGGCUUGAGUGUGGAAGAGGGGGGUGGAAUUCCAGGUGUAGCAGUGAAAUGCGUAGAGAUCUGGAGGAACACCGAUGGCGAAGGCAGCCCCCUGGGCUAACACUGACGCUCAUGCACGAAAGCGUGGGGAGCAAACAGGAUUAGAUACCCUGGUAGUCCACGCCCUAAACGAUGUCAACUGGUUGUCGGGGAAGCAAUUCCUGGUAACGAAGCUAACGCG